CAGAACCGAGUGGCAGCCUGCCAGCUCUGUGAAUUAGGGAUUUUCUUUGUUAAAGAUGAUGAAUUAGGGAUUCGUAUUUUCGGAGUUGAUAAUUUUCUGCGAAUUUAGGAAGUUUGGUUUGAUAUGUCGAGGCGAACACUUGUUGUGUUGAAUAAGCUCUUACCCGGAGGCGGAUCCACUACCGCUAUCCGAUGUAUGACGAAACCAAUAUCUAAGCCACCUAUAGCUGAUGUGUUUAAUGAUUGGUGCGAAAGUACGCUUCCAGGGAAGAAAGACAGCGGGCUUUCAAAGCGUUUAAACGCACCCGUGCCUCCUCACUUCGUGAUGAUCAUGUUUCUGAUGACCAACUCCACAAGUAUCCUCACCUUGACUUUGAUACUAGCUUUUACAAACCUUUUUACCCCAAAAUAGAAUACCCUUUUUCAAACUUAGAUCUCCCAUGGCAUCGAGCUUUUACAUUGCUUCACGAAAAAGAACUCAAACUGGUGGUGGUGGAGUUUAGUCUUUCAUGUCGUGCGCCAAUUCUGCGCGAGUUAGCCAAGAAGACACCCCAUGUUUUAUUCUUGAAGCUGGACGUUGAUGGUCAUAUGGGGACGGAAUCUGUUGCUCGGGAGUUCAAGAUCGAGGUAUUCCCCUCAAUUGUGUUCUUCAAGGAGAACAAUGUGAUUGAGAGGAUUGAGACUACUAAGGUGGAAGAAGUUGCAGCUCUGAUCACCCUACAUGAUGCUGCUGCUCGCGCUGCCUAUGCACGGUGGCUAGCGAUCCACCAUAGAAAAAGGUGGGGCACAGAUGUACCCCCAAAUUAACAUAUUGAUUAUUAUGUGUUGAGAUAUGUUUUCAAUUAUCUACGCUUAGAUGGAACUACAUGUUGGUUUUA